UCUUUCCAUUUCAGCCUGCUAUUGUAUCUUCUUCAAAAAGGAAUGACAUGGGUAAUACUGUACCAGAUUUUACUCCAGAUUUCUUCCAAACAAUGUCUGGAAGGCCACGAAAAACAAAAACAAAAACAAAAACAAAAGAAAUGGAAAGAAGGCUUCCAUUAAAACCACCAAGUUUACCACGACUGGAUCAAGAUGGUUCAACAGAAAAAUGGGAAAUAUUUGAGCAGGAGUUUGACCAGUAUUUGGUGGAUAGUGGAUUAGGGUCUAUGGAUGAUACUGUCAAGUGCCCAUUGUUACGUCAAUGUAUUGGAAAAGAGAAUAUGCAUAUUUAUGAUUCGUUUUAUUUUGAGAAAGACGAUGAUCGAUAUAUAUUACACGAAUUAAAGACAAAAUUCAGUAAUUAUUGUAAACGUCGCAUGACAGGAGAUGGUGUGAAGAAAAUGUAAUGUAGCAAAUUAUUGAAAUAAAAUUAUACUAUAUGAUAA